rnacentral:rRNA from 1 species
CCCGAAACCCGGUGAUCUAGCCAUGGGCAGGUUGAAGGUUGGGUAACACUAACUGGAGGACCGAACCGACUAAUGUUGAAAAAUUAGCGGAUGACCUGUGGCUGGGGGUGAAAGGCCAAUCAAACCGGGAGAUAGCUGGUUCUCCCCGAAAGCUAUUUAGGUAGCGCCUCGUGAACUCAUCUUCGGGGGUAGAGCACUGUUUCGGCUAGGGGGCCAUCCCGGCUUACCAACCCGAUGCAAACUACGAAUACCGAAGAAUGUUAUCACGGGAGACACACGGCGGGUGCUAACGUCCGUCGUGAAGAGGGAAACAACCCAGACCGCCAGCUAAGGUCCCAAAGUCAUGGUUAAGUGGGAAACGAUGUGGGAAGGCACAGACAGCCAGGAUGUUGGCUUAGAAGCAGCCAUCAUUUAAAGAAAGCGUAAUAGCUCACUGGUCGAGUCGGCCUGCGCGGAAGAUGUAACGGGGCUAAACCAUGCACCGAAGCUGCGGCAGCGACGCUUAUGCGUUGUUGGGUAGGGGAGCGUUCUGUAAGCCGUUGAAGGUGUGCUGUGAGGCAUGCUGGAGGUAUCAGAAGUGCGAAUGCUGACAUAAGUAACGAUAAAGCGGGUGAAAAGCCCGCUCGCCGGAAGACCAAGGGUUCCUGUCCAACGUUAAUCGGGGCAGGGUGAGUCGACCCCUAAGGCGAGGCCGAAAGGCGUAGUCGAUGGGAAACAGGUUAAUAUUCCUGUACUUGGUGUUACUGCGAAGGGGGGACGGAGAAGGCUAUGUCAGCCGGGCGACGGUUGUCCCGGUUUAAGCAUGUAGGCGGAGGUUCCAGGUAAAUCCGGUACCUUGUUAACGCUGAGGUGUGAUGACGAGGCACUACGGUGCUGAAGUGAUAAAUGCCCUGCUUCCAGGAAAAGCCUCUAAGCAUCAGGUAACACGAAAUCGUACCCCAAACCGACACAGGUGGUCAGGUAGAGAAUACCAAGGCGCUUGAGAGAACUCGGGUGAAGGAACUAGGCAAAAUGGUGCCGUAACUUCGGGAGAAGGCACGCUGAUAUGUAGGUGAAGCCCCUGCGGGCGGAGCUGAAAUCAGUCGAAGAUACCAGCUGGCUGCAACUGUUUAUUAAAAACACAGCACUGUGCAAACACGAAAGUGGACGUAUACGGUGUGACGCCUGCCCGGUGCCGGAAGGUUAAUUGAUGGGGUUAGCGGCAACGCGAAGCUCUUGAUCGAAGCCCCGGUAAACGGCGGCCGUAACUAUAACGGUCCUAAGGUAGCGAAAUUCCUUGUCGGGUAAGUUCCGACCUGCACGAAUGGCGUAAUGAUGGCCAGGCUGUCUCCACCCGAGACUCAGUGAAAUUGAACUCGCUGUGAAGAUGCAGUGUACCCGCGGCAAGACGGAAAGACCCCGUGAACCUUUACUAUAGCUUGACACUGAACACUGGUCCUUGAUGUGUAGGAUAGGUGGGAGGCUUUGAAGCGUGGACGCCAGUCUGCGUGGAGCCGCCCUUGAAAUACCACCCUUUAAUGGCUGGUGUUCUAACGUAGACCCGUAAUCCGGGUUGCGGACAGUGUCUGGUGGGUAGUUUGACUGGGGCGGUCUCCUCCCAAAGAGUAACGGAGGAGCACGAAGGUUGGCUAAUCCUGGUCGGACAUCAGGAGGUUAGUGCAAUGGCAUAAGCCAGCUUGACUGCGAGCGUGACGGCGCGAGCAGGUGCGAAAGCAGGUCAUAGUGAUCCGGUGGUUCUGAAUGGAAGGGCCAUCGCUCAACGGAUAAAAGGUACUCCGGGGAUAACAGGCUGAUACCGCCCAAGAGUUCAUAUCGACGGCGGUGUUUGGCACCUCGAUGUCGGCUCAUCACAUCCUGGGGCUGAAGUAGGUCCCAAGG